GAAUAGUUUAUUUAAAAUUUUAAUUUUGGAGAUUAAAGAAGGAAAGAUUUUUCUUUCUCUGA
rnacentral:tRNA from 1 species